AGCUAGUUGGUGGAGGUAAAUGCUCCCCAAGGCGACGAUCAGUAGCUGGUCUGAGAGGAUGAUCAGCCACACUGGGACUGAGACACGGCCCAGACUCCUACGGGAGGCAGCAGUGGGGAAUUUUCCACAAUGGGCGAAAGCCUGAUGGAGCAAUACCGCGUGAGGGAUGACGGAUCGUGGUCUGUAAACCUCUUUUCUUAAGGAAGAAUAAAUGACGGUACUUAAGGAAUAAGCACCGGCUAACUCCGUGCCAGCAGCCGCGGUAAUACGGGGGGUGCAAGCGUUGUCCGGAAUGAUUGGGCGUAAAGCAUCUGUAGGUGGUUUUUAAAGUCAACUGUUAAAGCCCAGGGCUUAACUUUGGAAAAGCGGUUGAGCACUUAAGGACUUGAGUAUGGUAGGGGUAGAGGGAAUUCCUUGUGGAGCGGUGAAAUGCACAGAGAUAAGGAAGAACACCGAGGGCGAAAGCACUCUACUGGGCCAUGACUGACACUGAGAGAUGAAAGUCGGGGGAGCGAAAAGGAUUAGAUACCCUUGUAGUCCCGACCGUAAACGAUGGAUACUAAGUGCUGACAAAAUCAGUGCUGUAGCUAACGCGUUAAGUAUCCCGCCUGGGGAGUAUGCUCGCAAGAGUGAAGCUCAAAGGAACUGACGGGAAUUGGCACAAGCGGUGGAUUAUGCGGUUUAAUUCGAUGAUACACGAAGAACCUUACCAGGGAUUGACAUGUUCAGAACUUUUGAGAGAUUGAAAGGUGCCCUUUUCUUGUUUACAAGAAGAGGGAGCUGAAACACAGGUGGUGCAUGGCUGUCGUCAGCUCGUGCGGUGACGUGUCGAGUUAAGUCUUUAAACGAGCGCAACCCUUGUCUUUUGUUACCACUUUCUUUAUGAAAGGACUCAAAAGAGACUGCCGGUGUAAAUCGGAGGAAGGAGAGGAUGACGUCAAGUCAGCAUGCCCCUUACAUCCUGGGCUACACGCGUAAUACAAUGGCAAAGACAACAGGACGCGAACCUGCGAAGGGAAGCAAAUCCCAUAAACUUUGUCUCAGUUCGGAUUGAAGUCUGCAACUCGACUUCAUGAAGCCGGAAUCGCUAGUAAUCGCCGGUCAGCUAUACGGCGGUGAAUACGUUCCCCAAUUUUGUACACACCGCCCGUCACAUGCUGGGAGCCGUCUUGUCCCAAAGACAGGUUGUGAACCUUGCUUUCCUUCGGAAAGAAAAGGAUGCGAAUGUCAACGGUUGGGUCGGUGACUAAUAUGAAGUCGAAACAAGGUACCCGUUCUGGAAGGAGUGGGUG
rnacentral:rRNA from 1 species